UGGGGAAUCUUGGACAAUGGGCGCAAGCCUGAUCCAGCCAUGCCGCGUGGAUGAUGAAGGCCUUAGGGUUGUAAAAUCCUUUCGUGGGGGACGAUAAUGACGGUACCCCAAGAAGAAGCUCCGGCUAACUUCGUGCCAGCAGCCGCGGUAAUACGAAGGGGGCUAGCGUUGUUCGGAUUUACUGGGCGUAAAGCGCGUGUAGGCGGGUCGUUAAGUUGGGGGUGAAAUCCCGAGGCUCAACCUCGGAACUGCCUUCAAAACUGGCGACCUGGACUCAAGCAGAGGCAAGUGGAAUUGCGAGUGUAGAGGUGAAAUUCGUAGAUAUUCGCAGGAACACCAGUGGCGAAGGCGACUUGCUGGGCUUGUAGUGACGCUGAGACGCGAAAGCGUGGGGAGCAAACAGGAUUAGAUACCCGAGUAGUCCCUGAGCGGGCUGGCAAGGCGCAU
rnacentral:rRNA from 1 species